rnacentral:lncRNA from 1 species
GGGGGGGGGGCUAGGAUGAAAUUUGAAAAAAAUAGGCAGGACAGGAUUUUUGAGUAAAAAAAAAGGCAGGAUGAGACACUUGCAAAAAAAAAAAGUCAGGAUAAACUAAAAAAAAAAAAGGCAGGACCGAACAGAGUGAAAAAUAAAAAGGCAGGACAGAGAUUACAGCUAAAAAAAAUGCAGGACAAAAUUUUUCAUCCUAGCCCCCCCCAUAAAAAUCAAAUGGUAGCUCCCUAAACUCUACAUAUUACGCAAGUUAUGGUAAAAACAAAGUAAGGUCCUGACCUGCUUCAUAAUUUAGAUAAAAUAAUUUUAACCCCAAAAUAACCAAAAACCAAAAUAUGAAAUCAUUCCUAUUCAUAAAAUUUGUUUUCUACAGAAGUUCUUCUGGACAGACAGAGUUGAUCCGUUAUGACCUCAGUGGUUUGCUGUUUACCAUGAAGGUAAAAAUAGAAAUUAU